ACCUUCUCCAGACCAGUAACACAGCACAGUCUCCUUGCUGACUGCAGCUGGAUCCAGAGGACCUCCUUCUCAGUUGUGCGAUCCAAAGCUGCUUCUGAAUGUUUCAUCUGGAAGAAGAGCAGCCUUCCCGAGGCUAGUUUGUUGAUGCCAGUCUGGACGUGCAUGUCUUGCCUCUGAGCAAGCUGGGGUGCUCCACGUGCAAGUCUGGACCUAUCUCUGACUGGAGCUCAAGCAAAUCAGACUGGAGAGUAGUAUCUCUUCCAUUUUGACAUGUGGGUCUUGUAAUCAUAAUUUCUUGUGUGCCACAGUGACCAUUUACAUUUUGCAAAAUGUCUCCCUACAGAAUUAAUUUUCAGCAUUGGGGAAAUAUGGGCAGCUUUUUAUAGUUUGAUAAUAAUUUAUCAGUCUCUCUCCUGCAGUCCUUUGCUGG